rnacentral:rRNA from 1 species
UACUCCUACGGGAGGCAGCAGUGAGGAAUAUUGGUCAAUGGGCGGAAGCCUGAACCAGCCAAGUAGCGUGCAGGAUGACGGCCCUAUGGGUUGUAAACUGCUUUUUAAGGGGAAUAAAGAGGGGCACGCGUUGCCCUGUUGCAUGUACCCUUGGAAUAAGGACCGGCUAAUUCCGUGCCAGCAGCCGCGGUAAUACGGAAGGUCCAGGUGUUAUCCGGAUUUAUUGGGUUUAAAGGGAGCGUAGGCCGCAGGUUAAGUGUGUUGUGAAAAGCAGUCGCCCAACGUCUGCCUUGCAGCGCAAACUGUCCUGCUUGAGUGCGCACAACGCAGGCGGAAUUCGUCGUGUAGCGGUGAAAUGCUUAGAUAUGACGAAGAACUCCGAUUGCGAAGGCAGCUUGCGGGAGCGCAACUGACGCUGAAGCUCGAAAGUGCGGGUAUCGAACAGGAUUAGAUACCCUGGUAGUCCGCACGGUAAACGCUGGAUGCCCGUUUUUGGCUUAUUUUAAGUCAGAGACCAAGCGAAAGCAUUAAGCAUCCCACCUGGGGAGUACGCCGGCAACGGUGAAACUCAAAGGAAUUGACGGA